GAUGAACGCUGGCGGCGUGCUUAACACAUGCAAGUCGAACGGGAUUGGGAGCUUGCUCCCAUGAGAGUGACGCACGGGUGAGUAACGCGUAUGCAACCUACCUAUAACAGAGGGAUAGCCCAUAGAAAUGUGGAUUAAUAUCUCAUAGUUCUUAGAAGCCGCAUGGUUUUUAAGAUAAAGCUCCGGCGGUUAUAGAUGGGCAUGCGUGACAUUAGCUAGCUGGUAAGGUAACGGCGUACCAAGGCUACGAUGUCUAGGGGUUCUGAGAGCAUGAUCCCCCACACUGGUACUGAGACACGGACCAGACUCCUACGGGAGGCAGCAGUGAGGAAUAUUGGUCAAUGGGCGCAAGCCUGAACCAGCCAUCCCGCGUGCAGGAUGAAGGCCCUAUGGGUCGUAAACUGCUUUUAUACACCAAGAAAAAUCAGGACGUGUCCUGACCCGACGGUAGUGUAUGAAUAAGCAUCGGCUAACUCCGUGCCAGCCGCCGCAGUAACAC
rnacentral:rRNA from 1 species